AGAAUAAUUCUUUUGCCAGUUAUUCUAGAUCAGUUUAUUCCGUGUUGAUAUUGUCUGACAAUUUUCAUAAAUUAAUAUUUUGAAGAAAAAUACUUUUUUGGCAAAUUGUGGAAUCUUUAUUUACCCCAGUUUAACAUCUCUGGUGCUACCCGAUAAAAAUAUUAUUUAAUGAACAAGGUUUUAGUGCAGUGAGACGCCAUAGAAAAUACACAAAAUUACACGUGAUAAUGAAAAUAAAACUAAGUGGCCAAAGAAAAGCAGAAGUGUUGCGAUCAAAGCUAAUACGCAAAAAGCUGGAAAAAUGGCUGGUCGGAAGUGAAAAAGGUAGUGCGAGCGCAUGAUUAUACCAAAUGUCACUGCGAUCUCCAUAACUCCACCAUAAUCUGUGGGACUGAUUCUGAUGCGGUUUCAUCUGAACGAGGUAUAAUCCUAGUGAGCCACUGAAGGCACCAUACUGAUGGAAGAAAAAUCGCACCUGACAGGACUGAUAAUACGGACUCUUGGGAUCGCUGCUGUAUGGGGGUGUGGGAUUGAAUAUGGGACUGUUCAACGUUGCACGGUCCCCAAGUCCAUUGCCCCUCGAAGAGUUCACAAAUGCAUAAGUUCCUGGGAUAAAUAUAAAAAAUAUAGUAAGAUAAAGGUCAUUUGGGCAUCAUGUGUGGGUCAUAUGGUCGAAUGUACAAUUACCUUUCGGAUUAUCAUUGGCGUCUGUCUUGGGAACUCCAUCUCUCCGAGCUCCAGGUGUUAUUUUUUGAAAAUGUUGCCUA